GACUGAGCCACCCAGGCGCCCCCACGGCUGCCAUCUUAAGUGGUGUUCUACUCCGAGCCAGGGUCUCUUUUGUCGGAGCGAAGAGAAUGAAGAAGGCCCCACGCCUGUCACAUGGCUCUGACCAGACCAUUUGUAUCUUCACUCUGCCUUUUGGGAGCGCAAAAAAGGGGAACGAGGAUAGAAGAUAAGGGAGAGCAGCAAGUGUGUUUGAUAUGGCUCCUUCUUUAUGCACAUGCGUGGUAUGUGGGCACGUCAAUAUGGAAGUGUAAUAAUAGCUUUUUCUCCUUUCUGCCUGUCUCAGUCUGCCCACCUCCAAGUCACUUCCUACAUAAAGGCUUCUUGUCUGAUCCA